AACGAACGCUGGCGGCAGGCCUAACACAUGCAAGUCGAGCGGACCUUUCGGGGUCAGCGGCGGACGGGUGAGUAACGCGUGGGAAUAUGCCCUUCUCUACGGAAUAGUCCUGGGAAACUGGGGGUAAUACCGUAUACGCCCUUUGGGGGAAAGAUUUAUCGGGGAAGGAUUAGCCCGCGUUGGAUUAGGUAGUUGGUGGGGUAAUGGCCUACCAAGCCGACGAUCCAUAGCUGGUUAGAGAGGAAGAUCAGCCACACUGGGACUGGGACACGGCCCAGACUCCUACGGGAGGCAGCAGUGGGGAAUCUUAGACAAUGGGGGCAACCCUGAUCGAGCCAUGCCGCGUGAGUGAUGAAGUCCUUAGAGUUGUAAAGCUCUUUCAGCUGGGAAGAUAAUGACGGUACCAGCAGAAGAAGCCCCGGCUAACUCCGUG
rnacentral:rRNA from 1 species